rnacentral:rRNA from 1 species
CCUACGGGUGGCAGCAGUGGGGAAUAUUGGUCAAUGGACGCAAGUCUGACCCAGCAAAGCCGCGUGAAGGAAGAAGGCUUUCGGGUUGUAAACUUCCUUUAAGGAGGAAGAGCAGAGGACGGUACCCCUUGAAUAAGCCACGGCUAACUACGUGCCAGCAGCCGCGGUAAUACGUAGGUGGCAAGCGAUGUCCGGAUUUACUGGGGUUAAAGGGCGUGCAGCCGGAGAGACCAGUCAGAUGUGAAAGCCACGGGCUCAACCCGUGAACUGCCUUUGAAACUGAUUUCCUUGAGUGUGGGAGAGGUAAGCGGAAUGCCUUGUGUAGCGGUGAAAUGCGUAGAUAUAAGGAAGAACACCAGUGGCGAAGGCGGAUUACUGGACGAUAACUGACGGUGAGGCGCGAAAGCGUGGGGAGCAAACAGGAUUAGAUACCCUGGUAGUC